rnacentral:rRNA from 1 species
GACGAGGGGUCCUAGCGUUGUUCGGAAUCACUGGGCGUAAAGCGCACGUAGGCGGGUCGUUAAGUCGGGGGUGAAAUCCUGGAGCUCAACUCCAGAACUGCCUUCGAUACUGGCGAUCUUGAGUCUGGGAGAGGUGAGUGGAACUCCGAGUGUAGAGGUGAAAUUCGUAGAUAUUCGGAAGAACACCAGUGGCGAAGGCGGCUCACUGGCCCGGUACUGACGCUGAGGUGCGAAAGCGUGGGGAGCAAACAGG